rnacentral:tRNA from 1 species
GUCCCUGUAGGCUAAAGGAAAGACUGGGUGGCUACGAACCAUCUGAUGCGCGUUCAAGUCGCGCCGGGGAUA